AAGAGAGGGAGGGAGUAACGGACGGCGGGAGAGAUAGGAAGGUAGGGAUGGUGGGAGAGAGGGAUGGAGAGAGGAAGUGAGAGAGGGAUGGAAGAGGGAGGCAGAGAAGGGAGAGAGAGGGAAGGUAGGAGGUAGGUGAGGGGAAGGGAGAGAGGGAUGGAAGAGGGAGGCAGAGAAGGGAGAGAGAGGGAAGGUAGGAGGUAGGUGAGGGGAAGGGAGAGAGGGAUGGAAGAGGGAGGCAGAGAAGGGAGAGAGAGGGAAGGUAGGAGGUAGGUGAGGGGAAGGGAGAGAGGGAUGGAAGAGGGAGGCAGAGAAGGGAGAGAGAGGGAAGGUAGGAGGUAGGUGAGGGGAAGGGAGAGAGGGAUGGAAGAGGGAGGCAGAGAAGGGAGAGAGAGGGAAGGUAGGAGGUAGGUGAGGGGAAGGGAGAGAGGGAUGGAAGAGGGAGGCAGAGAAGGGAGAGAGAGGGAAGGUAGGAGGUAGGUGAGGGGAAGGGAGAGAGGGAAGGUAGGAGGUAGGUGAGGGGAAGGGAGAGAGAGGGAAGGUAGGAGGUAGGUGAGGGGAAGGGAGAGAGAGGGAAGGUAGGAGGUAGGUGAGGGGAAGGGAGAGAGAGGGAAGGUAGGAGGUAGGUGAGGGGAAGGGAGAGAGAGGGAAGGUAGGAGGUAGGUGAGGGGAAGGGAGAGAGAGGGAAGGUAGGAGGUAGGUGAGGGGAAGGGAGAGAGAGGGAAGGUAGGAGGUAGGUGAGGGGAAGGGAGAGAGAGGGAAGGUAGGAGGUAGGUGAGGGGAAGGGAGAGAGAGGGAAGGUAGGAGGUAGGUGAGGGGAAGGGAGAGAGAGGGAAGGUAGGAGGUAGGUGAGGGGAAGGGAGAGAGAGGGAAGGUAGGAGGUAGGUGAGGGGAAGGGAGAGAGAGGGAAGGUAGGAGGUAGGUGAGGGGAAGGGAGAGAGGAAGAUACAGAAUCUUUUUCACAUUUCCAAAGAAUAUUGUUGUCCAGUAAGAUGACAGGCACUAUACAGUGUAUUCUUGAGAAGACCUACACUAUAAAGUGUAUUCUUGAGAAGACCUACACUAUACAGUGUAUUCUUGAGAAGACCUACACUAUACAGUGUAUUCUUGAGAAGACCUACACUAUACAGUGUAUUCUUGAGAAGACCUACACUAUACAGUGUAUUCUUGAGAAGACCUACACUAUACAGUGUAUUAUUGAGAAGACCUACACUAUACAGUGUAUUCUUGAGAAGACCUACACUAUACAGUGUAUUAUUGAGAAGACCUACACUAUACAGUGUAUUCUUGAGAAGACCUACACUAUACAGUGUAUUAUUGAGAAGACCUACACUAUACAGUGUAUUCUUGAGAAGACCUACACUAUACAGUGUAUUAUUGAGAAGACCUACACUAUACAGUGUAUUCUUGAGAAGACCUACACUAUACAGUGUAUUAUUGAGAAGACCUACACUAUACAGUGUAUUAUUGAGAAGACCUACACUAUACAGUGUAUUAUUGAGAAGACCUACACUAUACAGUGUAUUAUUGAGAAGACCUACACUAUACAGUGUAUUAUUGAGAAGACCUACACUAUACAGUGUAUUAUUGAGAAGACCUACACUAUACAGUGUAUUAUUGAGAAGACCUACACUAUACAGUCUAUUCGGAAAGUGUUCAGACCCCUUCACUUUUUCCACAUUUUCUUACUUUACAGCCUUAUUCUAAAAAGGAUUACAUAAUUUUUUUCCCUUGUCAAUCUAUACACAAUACCCCAUAAUGACAAAGCAAAAACAGGGUUUUGAAAUUUUUCCAAAUGUAUUAAACAUAAAAAAUAAACAGAAAUAUUAUAUAAAUAUAAAAACAGUAAGUAUUCAGACCCUUUGCUAUGAGAUUUGAAAUUGAGCUCAGGUGCAUCCUGUUUCCAUUGAUCAUGUUUCUACAACCUGAUUGUAGUCCAAAGGUGGGAAAUUCAAUUGAUUGGACAGCAUUUGGAAUGGCACACACCUAUCUAUAUAAGGUCCCACAGUUGACAGUGCAUGUCAGAGCGUCUAUAGAUGUCUAUAGAGCUCCGAGACGGAUUGUGUCGAGGAACAGAUCUGGGGAAGGGUACAAAAACAUUUCUGCAGCAUUGAAGGUCCCAAAGAAGGGAGACACGUCGCCGUGACGGGAUUCCUGAAUGGGCUGCCGACAUCGAAUAGCUUCACUGCGCCGGAGCCUGUUGUCCCGGGACCAUCUUCUCAUGGAGCAUGGGAGGCUCCUUCCGUAUCGGCCAACGUUGUGAUGGCAUCGCCAGGGUCUAAGGCGGGUUCUGCUUCACUGUGGUUACGGUGGGCUCUAGGGUAUUGGACUUAUCAGAAGUCAUGCCCUCCUGGCUGUUGUCAUCAAACAUUGGAAAGGUUCUUGGUGAACUAAGUUGAUGUGAAGACAAUAUUAGCAUUACAUGUAUGUAAGUCAGUUUUCACCAUCUCUUCUGGUCACUGUGAGACUUCCACAUGUAUCUGAAAGUGGUGACAUGCCUAAUGGUGCUCACCGGAGAAAUGUCAUUGCUAUUCCUAUUUUGUUUUAUUUUUCUAAUAGGUAUAAUUCAAUCUUUGAGUCUCCUGUUGUUCUGAAAUCUCAAAGUAAUCUGACUAUUAUUGAAACUCUGUGAUUUUAAAUGCAGAAAAGGUUUGACAUUUUAACAUUCUUAACAUUCAUAGUUUAUUAGCUAAAAUUGAUAAUGUCAUGAUCUGGGCCUCUCAGGCAGACCCUGAUAUUUCAUUUUUGAUCUGAAACCUGGUUAAAACUUCUUUGGGAUAGGGGGCAGUAUUUUCACGUCCGGAUGAAAAGCGCGCCCGAAGUAAACUGCCUGUUACUCUGGCCCAGGAUAUGCAUAUGCAUGGUAGUAUUGGAUAAAAAACACUCUAAAGUUUCUAAAACUGUUAAAAUAAUGUCUGUGAGUAUAACAGAACUGAUUUGACAGGCAAAACCCCGAGCACAAUCCAUCCAGGGGGGAAAUUUUUUGAAGUCAUUGUGUUUUCCAAUGCUUUUCUAUGGGAAACCUGAUUUAUUAGGGCCCAGAUUGCAGUUCCUAUGGCUUCCACUAGAUGUCAACAGUCUUUAGAAAUUUUCUAUGUUUUUCUUUUGAGAAAUGAAGAAGUAGUGCUAAUUCAUUCCAUGUGUCACUCAGAAGGUCUCUAGUAUUUUGGUGCGCGUAAACAAGAGCGCACUCUGUGUUGUUUUUCUUCGUUAUUGGACACUGUUUAUCCCGUCUUAAAUUUGAUAGAUUAUUUACAUUUUAGGGUACCUGAGGUUGGAUUAAAAACAUUGUUUGAAAUGUUUGGACCAAGUUUACAGGUAACUUAUUAGAUACUUUGUAGUCAUGUUGGGCCAGUUGGAACCGGUGUAUUUCUGAAUCAAACCCGCCAAAUAAAUGGACAUUUUGGGGAUAUAAAGAUGGAAUUUAUCAAACAAAACGACCAUUCAUUGUGUCACUGAGACAUUUGGGAUUGCAAAAAGAUGAUGAUCGUCAAAGGUAAGGCAUUUAUUAUAUCGUUAUUUCUGACUUGUGUCGCACCUGCCUGGUUGAAAAAUGAUUUUCAUGUUUUGUAUGCAGGGCACUGUCCUCAGAUAAUCAAAUGGUGUGCUUUCGCCGUAAAGCCUUUUAGAAAUCUGACACAGCAGCUGGAUUAAUAGGAAGUUAAGCUUUAUUUUGAUGUAUUACACUUAUAUUUUCGUGAAUGUUGAAUAUUUAUAUUUCUGUAGUUUGAAUUUGGCUCUCUGCAAUAACACCGGAUGUUGUCAAAUCUAUCCCGCUAACGGGAUUGGCACUUUAAGGGAUCCCUAAGAGGUUUUAACUGAUAAAACCCUGGACUCUGAGGUUGCUAUGGAUGGUUACAAUUUGUUUAACGCUGAUAGGAAAGACAAAGGGGGUGAUGUUGCUAUUUACACAAAGAAUAUUAUUUCUGUGUCUCUGUUAAAGGCUACCUCCCAUCCUAAACAAUUUGAAUUGUUGGCUUUAAGUCUUCGGUUGGGUUCAAACUCAAAAAUAACAGUUAUAGGAAUCUAUCGUCCACCCUCCGCCAAGAAAUGUGUACUAAAUUAACUCACUGAUUUAUUUGCCAUUUUUACUACCCCAGAGGUGUUAAUUUCCUGAGAUUUUAAUCUUGCAUGGGGAACGCAGGAUGCUGACUAUUUAAAAUAUUUUUGUUCUAAUCUAAAUUUGACCCAGCUGAUUACAAAGCCUUCACGUCCAAACUUAAAGGACCCUACGAAAUUGACUUUGAUUAACCUCAUAUUUACAAAUACUCCAGAGAAAUAUGCUGGGAGUGGAUUGUUUGCUUUGGAUAUUAGUGACCACUGUCCCAUUGUAUGUGUCAGGGAUAUACCGAUGCCUCGAUCCAAACCUCGUUUUAUCAACAAGAGGGAUUUUAAACAUUUCAAUGAACAUGUUGCAUCUAUACCUGACCCAGAGUUGGCUCUGAACCACAACAUGCCCCCUUUAAAAAACUGAGAAUUAAAAAUAGGUUGGUUCAGUCCAGAGCUAUCUGAAGUCAUACACAACAGAGGUGCUACCUGAGCCAAAGCUAGAUUCACAGACUCGGGCCCAGACUGGCAGUCUUUCAGGCGAUUGAGAAAUCUGUGUGUAAAACUAGUUAAAAAGCUAAAUCAGAUUAUUAUGUUGAUACACUAUCUGAAUGUACAGGGAACCCAGCUACAUUUUGGAAAGCUGUUAAAUAACUGAAGGGUUGUGUCUCCUCUUGUCACGACAUCCGCCGAAGUCGGGUCCUCUCCUUGUUCGGGCGGCGCUCGGCAUCGCCAGUCUUCUAGCCAUCAUCGAUCCACAUUUCAUUUUUCAUUUUCCAUGUGUUUUGUCUUUGUAACGGUCGUCAUAUGAAGGAGAAGAGGAGGACCAAUGCGCAGCGUGGUAAAUGUCCAUAUUUAAUAGAACAAACUGAACACGACUAAAUAGAAAAAUAACAAAGUGAAAUAACAAACCGAAACAGUUCCGUGUGGAACACAGACACAGGAAACAGUUCCGUGUGGAACACAGACACAGGAAACAAUCACCCACAACUCUAAAGGGAAACCAGGCUACCUAAGUAUGGUUCUCAAUCAGGGACAACGAUAAACAGCUGCCUCUGAUUGAGAACCAUACCAGGCCAAACACAGAAUCCCAAAUUAUAGAAAAAGGGACAUAGACUGCCCACCCCAACUCACGCCCUGACCAUACCAAAACAAAGACAAACAAAGGAACUAAGGUCAGAACGGGAAAGUCUUGUUUUUCCUCACACCUGGUUUCAAUUCCCUCAAUUACUUGUUGUAUAUUUAACCCUCUGUUCCCCCCAUGUCUUUGUGUGGGAUUGUUUAUUGUAAGUGCAUGUGCACGUUUUCUCUGGAGCGCGGCGGGUUUUGUACCCAUUUGUUUGUUGUUCUGGUUUCCUGUGGUUUUAUGAAUAAAACUGCUCCGUUGAUUACCCAGUUUUGCCCUCUUGCGUCUGACUUCCCUGCCACCAGUUACACACUCCCUUACACCUCUUCUCUCCACCAUGAAAUUCAUUUAGAUUCUGGCCCUGCUACUGACAAAAUUGAUAUCAUUAAUGUAUUUAAUCACCAUUGUAUAUCAGCGGGCUAUAUCUUUGAAUGUAUUUCAAAGCCAUCUCUUGAAAAGAGUCGUUUGGAUGUUGAUGGUAAAAAACUAUUGUAUGAUACUGAAAAUGCUGGUCAGGAGUUUUCUUUUCAGAAAUUCACUGAUAAAGAGGUCCUGGAUGAUUCGCUAACAUUAGACAAUAAAAAAAUCCACAGGGGCUGAUCAUUUGGAGUCUGGUCUGCUUAUGUGUGCAGCUUCCUUUAUUGCUGCAUCGGUAGCGCACAUUUUAAUGAACAUUGUUAUCAGGAAGUAUUCCAAAAGCAUGUAGAUCUGCAUAUGUGCUGCCACUGCAUAAGGGUGGGGAUACCAAGGAUCUGGACAACUAUCGCCCCAUAAGGGUGGGGAUACAAAGGAUCUGGACAACUAUCGCCCCAUAAGAGUGGGGAUACAAAGGAUCUGGACAACUAUCGCCCCAUAAGGGUGGGGAUACAAAGGAUCUGGACAACUAUCGCCCCAUAAGGGUGGGGAUACAAAGGAUCUGGACAACUAUCGCCCCAUAAGGGUGGGGAUACAAAGGAUCUGGACAACUAUCGCCCCAUAAGGGUGGGGAUACAAAGGAUCUGGACAACUAUCGCCCCAUAAGGGUGGGGAUACAAAGGAUCUGGACAACUAUCGCCCCAUAAGAGUGGGGAUACAAAGGAUCUGGACAACUAUCGUCCCAUAAGGGUGGGGAUACAAAGGAUCUGGACAACUAUCGCCCCAUAAGGGUGGGGAUACAAAGGAUCUGGACAACUAUCGUCCCAUAAGGGUGGGGUUACAAAGGAUCUGGACAACUAUCGCCCCAUUUCAAGACUACCUUGUUUAGCUAAGAUUCUUGAAUCCUUGGUUAAUGCACAACUUUGUUCCUUUUAAUCUGAUAAUUGUAUUCUUAAUAUAAACCAAUCGGGGUUUAGGCCUGGGGAUAGUACUACCACAGCAGUCACGCUAGUUGUUAAUGAUCUUGUCAUUGGAUGCUAAAAAGAUCUGUGCGUCCUUCUUUAUUGACCCAUCAAAGGUGUUUGAAACUGUUGAUCAUUCUGUUUUGCUGAAGUUAUCAAGAAUAGGCCUGGGAUAUACAGCCUGUUUAUGGUUUCAGAAUUAUCUUAGCGACAGAACUCAGGCCAUCUUGACAGACGGGUUCAAAUCUAAAUUUCAUUAUUAAAUGGAAGAAGUUUAGAACAGCCAAGACACUUCCUAGAGCUGGCCGCCCGGCCAAACUGAGCGAUCAGGGGAGAAGGGCCUCGGUCACGGAGGUGACCAAGAACCCGAUGGUCUCUCUGACAGAGCUCCAGAGUUCCUCUGUGGAGAUGGGAGAACCUUCCAGAAGGACAACCAUCUCUGCAGCACUCCACCAAUCAGGCCUUUAUGGUAGAGUGGCCAGAUGGAAGCAACUCCUCAGUAAAAUUCACCUGACAAACCACUUGGAGUUUACCAAAAGGCACCUAAAGGACCCUCAGACCUUGAAAAAGAGAUUAUCUGGUCUGAUGAAACCAAGAUUUGGCCUGAAUGCCAAGUGUCACAUCUGGAGGAAACCAGGCACCACUCAUCACUUGGCAUGUGGUGGCAGCGUCAUGCUGUGGGGAUGUUUUUCAGCAUCAGGGACUGGGAGACUAGUCAGGAUCGGGAAAGAUGAACGGAGCAAAGUAUUAGAGAGGUUCUUGAUAAAAACCUGCUCCAAAGCGCUCAGGACCUCAGACUGGGGGCGAAGGUUCACCUUCCAACAGGACAAUGACCCUAAGUACACAGCCAAGACAACGCAGGAGUGGCUUCGGGACCAAGUCUCUGAAUGUUAUUGAGUGGCCCAGCCAGAGCCUGAACUUGAACCCAAUCAAACAUCUCUGUAGAGACCUGAACAUAGCUGUGGACACUCCCCAUCCAACCUGACAGAGCUUGAGAGGAUCUGCAGAAAAGAAUGGGAGAAACUCCCCAAAUACAGGUGUGCCAAGCUUGUAGCGUUAUACCCAAGAAGACUCAAGGCUGUAAUCACUGCCAAAGGUGCUUCAACAAAGUACUGAGUAGAACAGUACUGGGUCUUAAUACUUAUGUAAAUUUGAUAUUUCCAAAAAAUAUAUAUUAUAAAUAAAACAAAAUCUACAAACCUGUUUUUGCUUUGUCAUUAUGGGGUAUUGUGUGUAGAUUGAUUAGGUGGAAAAACAAUGUAAUUCAUUUUAGAACAAGGCUGUAACGUAACAAAAUGUGGAAAAAGUGAAGGCGUCUGAAUACUUUCUGAAAACACUGUCUAUACAAACUUUAGUUUAAAUGAGUGGAUUUGGCUGUUUCAGCCACACCGGUUGCUGACGGGUGUAUAAAACUGAACACACAGCCAUGCAAUCUACACAGACAAACAUUGGCAGUAGAAUGGCCUUAAUGAAGAGCUCAAUGACUGUCAACGUGGCACAGUCAUAGGAUGCCACCUAUCCAACAAGUUAUUGUGAAGUGGAAAUGUCUAGCAGCAACAAUGGCUCAGCAGCGAAGUGCUAGGCCACACCAACUCACAGAACGGGACUGCCAAGUGGUGAAGCACGUAGCGCGUAUAAAUCGUCUGUCCUCGGUCACAACACUCACUACCGAGUUCCAAUCUGCCUCUGGAAGCAACGUCAGCACAAGAACUGUUCGUCGGUGACUUUAGGAAAUGGGUUUCCAUGGCUGAGCAGCCGCACACAAGCCUAAGAUCACCCUGCGCAAAGCGUCGUCUGGAGUGGUGUAAAGCUCACUGCCAUUGGGCUCUGGAGCAGUGGAAACGUGUUCUUUAGAGUGAUGAAUCACGCUUCACCAUCUGGCAGUCUGAAAGACGAAUCUGGGUUUGGCUGAUGCCAGGAGAACGCCACCUGCCCGAAUGCAUAUUGCCAACUGUAAAGUUUGGUGGAGGAGGAAUGGUUUGGGUUAGGCGCCUUAGUUCCAGUGAAGGGAAAUAACGCUACAGCAUAUAAUGACAUUCUAGACGACUCUUUGCUUCCAACUUUGUGGCAACAGUUUGGGGACGGCACUUUCCUGUUUCAGCAUGACAAUGCCCCCAUGCACAAAGCGAAAUGUUUUUUUUCGAGAUCCAUGUGGAAGAAUUUGACUGGCCUGUACAGAGCCCUGACCUCAACCCCAUCGAACACCUUUGGGAUGAAUUGGAACACCGACUGCAAGCCAGGCCUAAUCGCCCAACAUCAGUGCCCAACCUCACUAAUGCUCUUGUGGCUGAAUGGAAGCAAGUCCCCACAGCAAUGUUCUAACAUCUAGUGGAAAGCCUUCCCAGAAGAGUGGAGGCUGGUACAGCAGCGAACUGGGGACCAACUCCAUAUUAAUGCCCAUGAUUUUGGAAUGUAGUAUACCCCCAACCCCCUCCUAAAGAUAUAGGUUUUGAAAGGAAUAUCUCUCAAAGUAUUGUAAGUGUGUUGUUGUUCGAUAGGACUGUAGGGGGGAAGAUAAAGGGUGGGAAGAAGGGAGGGUGGAGGGAGAGAGAGAGUGGUAGUGAGGGAAGUACAGCAUGCUGGGUUGUCAAAAACUUCAAGAGGGAGAAAAGGUGGGACAGAGAGUGAGAGAGAAGGAGGGAGGAGGAAAGGAGAGAGGGAGAAAAGGUGGGACAGAGAGUGAGAGAGAAGGAGGGAGGAGGAAAGGAGAGAGGGAGAAAAGGUGGGAGAAAGAGUGAGAGAGAAGGAGGGAGGAGGAAAGGAGAGAGGGAGGAAAGUGCAGGCUUUGGGGGAUGGCAGUUCCCUUUCUCAGGUAAACUUCCUCUGAGACAACAAACCCCAGACCACAGGAACUCUUGGUUUCUGUAUGACUGACCCAACCGCACACACAGAAACAACAAACACACAAAGCCCAAGGAUAAGCAGAAAUGAGUGAGCAAAACUGGACUAACUAGUAUAACCUGAAUAACUAGUCUUGUAGCCAAACAUACAUGGACACAGACAGAGGCAGAGAGAUGGAGUGAAGGAAUUUCAGGUAUGGCCACCAAAUCUGUGUGUGUAUGUGUGUUGUAAAUGGGAUAUGUUAGGAGAUCAUAAUUAUUAAUACAUUCUCCUAGCCUGGCAAAACAUCAGCUUAUGUGUCCAUGUUGCUCCUACAAUCCCUCUCUCUACCUCUCUCUACCUCUUUCUCUACCUCUCUCCCUCCCUUUCUGUGUGUCUUUAUAUCUCUACCUCUCUCUCUCUCUCUCUCUCUCUCUCUCUCUCUCUCUCUCUCUCUCUCUCUCUCUCUCUCUCUCUCUCUCGCUCUCUGUCUCU